UGCUGGGCUGCUAAUUCUUCAGUGUGACCCUACAAUGGAAAGACGUGCUAGUCUCAAGGUGUGGAUGGGUGUGCAGUACUAACAGGUGUGUGUCUUUCUCUCUGCUUUCCCCCACCACACUCUUCAGUCUGGACAACUCUAACAAAUCAUUACUCACCACGGUCCAGGCAGGAUCUUCUUGUCUUUCUCCCAGGCUCUUGCCUCUACUUAGUAAUUUCUCUUGUUCCUCAGGGAGGCCUUGCUUAUUCUCCGAGGCCCUUUUCCUCUGAGGCUUUCCAAAGCCCUCACAGCCCAUCGCUGCUGCUUUGUCUGACCUUUGUAUGGCCUGAAGUGUGACUAGCUUUUCAAAAACAUGUUUUCAAACUCACGGAGACCUACCUGCUUCUGUGUUCCUCUCUCUCCAAAUGCCAAGGCUAAAGGUGUGUGCUGCCAGACCUGGUGUGUAUCACACCCCAGUUUUCUUAGUUUCUUUACCUUAGUCCUGGCCCCACGGCACAGAAGGGUUUGCAGAAUUCAUUCGUCUGAUGUACUAGUGAUUUUUCUCACUGCCAUGACCAAAUAUGCAACAAGGCUCAGUUUAACGAUGGAGGGUACAUUUUUGGCUCACAGUUUAAGGGGACCUGGUCUAUAAUGACAAGGAAGAGAUGAUGACAGGGGCUCACAGCUGUGGUGAAGUUGGAACCCUUCUCACCUUCAAAUCUGGGCAAAACAGGAGAGGAGAGCGAAUCUUACUUUCUGUUUUUCCCCCUUUGUUGAUUCUGUGUCCUGAGUCUGUGGACAAUGCCACCCACAUUCAGGUGGGGCACACCCUCACAGAUGUGCCCAGAGGUGUGUGUUUCCCAGGUGACUCUAGAUCAUGCCCAGUUGAUGAUGAAGACUAUGGCAAGAGAAAAACAGUAUCAGUAAGAACAUUUUUUAAAUAAAAAUAAUAAAUGUACUUUCAUGUGGAGAGACACCCCUAUAAUCCUAGCCCUUAGGAGGCAGAGGGAAAGAGGUCAGGAAUUCAAGGACAGCCUGAGAUAUACAAGGCCCUCACCAGUAAAUCUAGGCUAGGGUUCUUCCAAAUGUCUCUGUUCAUCUAACACUGGUCUUCAGAGCCACUUUUGGAAAGAGAGAACAUCAACUGUAAUCUAUUUGGAAUAGAGACUUUUAGAAUUUCUGUCAACUGCAUUUUUGCACAUGUCUUCUUCUUUUUUUGUGCCCUUGAUAAAUUCUGAUAAGAAUACUGGCUACACUGUGUGUCUUGUACAUAUUUCUGUCUUGCCCAUAGGCUACAAGCUAUUAAUGUGCUGCGGUUUCAUCUUAGUGACCCUUUAUCUCCAGGACCCAACGCUGAUCCAGGCACAGAAAGGGUAGCUCCCCAGGAAUCAGGGUGGACAAGAAUAUGAAGUUGGAAGCAGGAACCAUCACAAGGAGGAGGUUUAAUUGGAGUGUCACCUCCUCACUGGGGUGUGAAAUCCUCAGAGGACAACUCUGCUCUCUGUAGGAAAAGGGCAAAGUUGGAGAGAGCAGUUGAGCGCAACGUUGAGUUAAGCGCAGGCACCGAUCCCUGACAGGCCUGGCUCAUCCAGGGAGAGAGGGCAGUACAGAGGGCACGGGAGGCACAUUUGCAAGGUUUCCCAGCCUGAGGCUGCAGGCUAAGAUCCACUCGCUCAUUAAGAUUCAACAGAGGCAGGGUCUCUCUGUCUUGUGGCUGCCUGUUGAGAAUAGACAGUACAGGAUCACGUCUGGAUGCUCCAAAGGACUCGUGAGUUACUUCUCAAACCCUAGGGGAAAACGGUGUGGAACAGCUCCAGUUAUCAGAAGUAUAUUUUAUCAUCCUGCUUGGGAAGACUGUUUGCAGACAAGAAGGGCUUUCUCUGGGUGCCUCCCACGGGUGGAGAAGGGAGUCUGAAUCUGUCGCCCACCCCCUUCCCUAUUAAUCAUCGUCUCAUCUUGUCCUGUGCAGAUGUCAUGAGCCUUUUUCUGUUUGAAGUCUUUAUCGGUGUUUAUCUUGGAGUCUCUAAUAAAUCAUUUUCCGGCUGUGUGUGUGUGUGUGUGUGUGUGUGUGUGUGUGAGCCAGGGUGCUUAGCAUGAGCAGGGUGCCACCAGACCUCUCUCGUGGCAUUUCUAUGUCAUGUCAGUGAGACUCCUUCCCCUGAAAGGAGCCAGAGAACUGAGGUGAAACUGGUAAUUUUGAAAGGCUUGCUUAGUGGGAAGGGGGAAUUUUUUUCCCACUUGAUCUAAUUAUAGUCAUUAUUCUAUCAGAGGCUGCACAGUAAAGCAGCAAGACUGGUUAGAAUAAGUUAGGCCAUCUGAGCCUGGUGGCUCAGCUCAGUAAGCUCGGGGACUUGGGGUAGGAGGUGAGGCAGGAUAAUUACAAAUUCAAGGCCCAUCUGGGCAACAGAGUGAGUUGAAAACCAGCCUGGGCCACUUGUUGAGAAACUGACUC
rnacentral:lncRNA from 1 species